CCUCCUGUGGCAUAAUGGGUCAGUGCAUAGGACUGUUAAUCAGAAGGUUGGUGGUUCGAGCCCACUCAGGAACA